rnacentral:rRNA from 1 species
GUGGGGAAUAUUCCGCAAUGGACGAAAGUCUGACGGAGCAACGCCGCGUGAGUGAUGAAGGUUUUCGGAAUGUAAAGCUCUGUUGUUUAGGACGAAAGUGCCUGUUGCGAAUAGUUACAGGUAUUGACGGUACUGAACGAGGAAGCCACGGCUAACUACGUGCCAGCAGCCGCGGUAAUACGUAGGGGGCAAGCGUUGUCCGGAAUUAUUGGGCGUAAAGAGCAUGUAGGCGGGAAUCUAAGUCUGUUGUGAAAAUGCGGGGCUCAACCCCGUAUUGCGAUGGAAACUGGGUUUCUUGAGUGCAGGAGAGGAAAGGGGAAUUCCCAGUGUAGCGGUGAAAUGCGUAGAUAUUGGGAGGAACACCAGUGGCGAAGGCGCCUUUCUGGACUGUGUCUGACGCUGAGAUGCGAAAGCCAGGGUAGCGAACGGGAUUAGAUACCCUUGUAGUCC